UUAAGCGACUAAGCGUACACGGUGGAUGCCCUGGCAGUCAGAGGCGAUGAAGGACGUGCUAAUCUGCGAAAAGCGUCGGUAAGGUGAUAUGAACCGUUAUAACCGGCGAUGUCCGAAUGGGGAAACCCAGUGUGAUUCGUCACACUAUCGUUAACUGAAUACAUAGGUUAACGAGGCGAACCGGGGGAACUGAAACAUCUAAGUACCCCGAGGAAAAGAAAUCAACCGAGAUUCCCCCAGUAGCGGCGAGCGAACGGGGAGCAGCCCAGAGUCUGAAUCAGCUUGUGUGUUAGUGGAACGGUCUGGAAAGUCCGACGGUACAGGGUGAUAGUCCCGUACACCAAAAUGCACAGGUUGUGAACUCGAAGAGUAGGGCGGGACACGUGGUAUCCUGUCUGAAUAUGGGGGGACCAUCCUCCAAGGCUAAAUACUCCUGACUGACCGAUAGUGAACCAGUACCGUGAGGGAAAGGCGAAAAGAACCCCGGCGAGGGGAGUGAAAAAGAACCUGAAACCGUGUACGUACAAGCAGUGGGAGCACCUUCGGGUGUGACUGCGUACCUUUUGUAUAAUGGGUCAGCGACUUAUAUUCUGUAGCAAGGUUAACCGUAUAGGGGAGCCGCAGGGAAACCGAGUCUUAACUGGGCGUUAAGUUGCAGGGUAUAGACCCGAAACCCGGUGAUCUAGCCAUGGGCAGGUUGAAGGUUGGGUAACACUAACUGGAGGACCGAACCGACUAAUGUUGAAAAAUUAGCGGAUGACUUGUGGCUGGGGGUGAAAGGCCAAUCAAACCGGGAGAUAGCUGGUUCUCCCCGAAAGCUAUUUAGGUAGCGCCUCGUGAACUCAUCUUCGGGGGUAGAGCACUGUUUCGGCUAGGGGGUCAUCCCGACUUACCAACCCGAUGCAAACUACGAAUACCGAAGAAUGUUAUCACGGGAGACACACGGCGGGUGCUAACGUCCGUCGUGAAGAGGGAAACAACCCAGACCGCCAGCUAAGGUCCCAAAGUCAUGGUUAAGUGGGAAACGAUGUGGGAAGGCACAGACAGCCAGGAUGUUGGCUUAGAAGCAGCCAUCAUUUAAAGAAAGCGUAAUAGCUCACUGGUCGAGUCGGCCUGCGCGGAAGAUGUAACGGGGCUAAACCAUGCACCGAAGCUGCGGCAGCGACACUAUGUGUUGUUGGGUAGGGGAGCGUUCUGUAAGCCUGCGAAGGUGUGCUGUGAGGCAUGCUGGAGGUAUCAGAAGUGCGAAUGCUGACAUAAGUAACGAUAAAGCGGGUGAAAAGCCCGCUCGCCGGAAGACCAAGGGUUCCUGUCCAACGUUAAUCGGGGCAGGGUGAGUCGACCCCUAAGGCGAGGCCGAAAGGCGUAGUCGAUGGGAAACAGGUUAAUAUUCCUGUACUUGGUGUUACUGCGAAGGGGGGACGGAGAAGGCUAUGUUAGCCGGGCGACGGUUGUCCCGGUUUAAGCAUGUAGGCUGGUUGUCCAGGCAAAUCCGGAUAAUCAAGGCUGAGGUGUGAUGACGAGGCACUACGGUGCUGAAGUAACAAAUGCCCUGCUUCCAGGAAAAGCCUCUAAGCAUCAGGUAACAUCAAAUCGUACCCCAAACCGACACAGGUGGUCAGGUAGAGAAUACCAAGGCGCUUGAGAGAACUCGGGUGAAGGAACUAGGCAAAAUGGUGCCGUAACUUCGGGAGAAGGCACGCUGGUGUGUAGGUGAAGUCCCUGCGGAUGGAGCUGAGACCAGUCGAAGAUACCAGCUGGCUGCAACUGUUUAUUAAAAACACAGCACUGUGCAAACACGAAAGUGGACGUAUACGGUGUGACGCCUGCCCGGUGCCGGAAGGUUAAUUGAUGGGGUUAUCCGUAAGGAGAAGCUCUUGAUCGAAGCCCCGGUAAACGGCGGCCGUAACUAUAACGGUCCUAAGGUAGCGAAAUUCCUUGUCGGGUAAGUUCCGACCUGCACGAAUGGCGUAAUGAUGGCCAGGCUGUCUCCACCCGAGACUCAGUGAAAUUGAACUCGCUGUGAAGAUGCAGUGUACCCGCGGCAAGACGGAAAGACCCCGUGAACCUUUACUAUAGCUUGACACUGAACAUUGAGCCUUGAUGUGUAGGAUAGGUGGGAGGCUUUGAAGCGUGGACGCCAGUCUGCGUGGAGCCAACCUUGAAAUACCACCCUUUAAUGUUUGAUGUUCUAACGUUGGCCCCUGACCGGGGUUGCGGACAGUGUCUGGUGGGUAGUUUGACUGGGGCGGUCUCCUCCCAAAGCGUAACGGAGGAGCACGAAGGUUAGCUAAUCCUGGUCGGACAUCAGGAGGUUAGUGCAAUGGCAUAAGCUAGCUUGACUGCGAGCGUGACGGCGCGAGCAGGUGCGAAAGCAGGUCAUAGUGAUCCGGUGGUUCUGAAUGGAAGGGCCAUCGCUCAACGGAUAAAAGGUACUCCGGGGAUAACAGGCUGAUACCGCCCAAGAGUUCAUAUCGACGGCGGUGUUUGGCACCUCGAUGUCGGCUCAUCACAUCCUGGGGCUGAAGUAGGUCCCAAGGGUAUGGCUGUUCGCCAUUUAAAGUGGUACGCGAGCUGGGUUUAGAACGUCGUGAGACAGUUCGGUCCCUAUCUGCCGUGGGCGCUGGAGAAUUGAGGGGGGCUGCUCCUAGUACGAGAGGACCGGAGUGGACGCAUCACUGGUGUUCGGGUUGUCAUGCCAAUGGCACUGCCCGGUAGCUAAAUGCGGAAGAGAUAAGUGCUGAAAGCAUCUAAGCACGAAACUUGCCCCGAGAUGAGUUCUCCCUGAGACUUUAAGUCUCCUGAAGGAACGUUAAAGACGAUGACGUUGAUAGGCCGGGUGUGUAAGCGCAGCGAUGCGUUGAGCUAACCGGUACUAAUGAACCGUGAGGCUUAACCUU
rnacentral:rRNA from 2 species